AGCCAUACAGUUUUCUGUUCUUCCAGGAAACUCUUUGGAGUUUUGCAGGUCAACUUGUUCGUUUGGAUCAACACUACAGCCCCAUCCAGGUUCGCAGCCAGAGGGCCAUGAAGUCAAGUUGCAAUUUACAUUUGGUUGCAAGUGGCCCGGGUCAUUCGAUUUAUUGAAAAAUGUAUUAAAAUAGAACUUCAUCUCUGCUGCUGUACAGAUACGCCUAUUAAUAUCACCUGUUACAAACCCAAAAUGUGAACACAUGAAAAAGAUAUGAAAAUUAUGUCAUCAGAUUAACUCCAAGAACCAUAAGAAACAUGAGAAUUUUGCAACAACAAUAUUUGAUGUUCCUAUAAAAACAUUACAUCGCCGCUCUUCCAUCUUGUUUUAACAACCAAGUAAUAGUCAGUACCUUUGGUUAUCUGAAUGCAAGCAGAUAAGAAGUCUAAGUUGGUGGAGAAGUUAAACGCUCUGUUCCAAUCAGCAUCCCUGAGAUUGUGAUUUCAACAAAAGAAUAAAAUAUCUCACAAGACUUACGUAAGCUAAAAGAAAUAUUUCACCUAAAGCACCUACAGUUAAGCAAGUGAAGCUAUCAAUGCAUGAACUAUACUAAGAUCAAAGAAUUGAAAGUUCCACAGUGAUACAAGUCUACAAAAUUAGAAAUCAAAACAAAGCAAAUAAAGUGCCAGAUUGCAGUUUAAGAGAAAGAAGACUGACGGGUCUUUGACGCAAAACUUUGCUCUGGUACCGAGCUCACGAUUAAGAGCAGCAGUGCUAUUAGAAAGCUUGCGGUAAACCAUCUGUGUAACGAGUGGAAGAACAGCUGGAUUAUCGAACUCACUGGUGUCCCCAAUAGUUUGACCAUUACCAACAUUAACAUAACAAACCAACCACAGAAGCAAGAUCACCAAUCUGAGAUUAGAUCCAAGUUUGAGCCAACUUUGCCGGUUCACGCUCAUCUUGAGAUUCAAAAGCCUUAAAGGACACAUAACAGAAAGUGAAUAAAUCAGAUGCAAGAUAACAACCAACAAAUACAUAAACAACCUUGCUUGAUUUAUCAAAAGAGAAGGCUUUUUCAAUUUUUAAAAUGAAACGUUUGAGACAUUGUGAUUUGUGAAUGGAGAGGGAAGAAACGUGAAGGAAGUUGGAGAAACGAUGGUGCAAAUACCAAAACGGUGAUCUGCUUAGUGUACGACGAACGUGACUGAACAAUGUGAAAAACGACCCAUCUUAAUUUCAUUAAUCAAUUGUUAAGCUUGAUUUUGGGGUUUACUACAUAAAGGUUGAGUCUGUUCUUUUGUCUUAUCACAUUACAUUACAAUUAAGCAGAAACGAACUCCAAAACAAUCUAAUUGAAGAAAUUAAGAACCCAGAAACUUAAAGUUGCUUGCUUUGUCUCCAGAUCACAUCAAACCCCAUCACAAAAAUUGCAAGUUUUGAUUUUUCUUUCUUAGAUUCUAGAACUCAAAUCACCCUAAACUCCAUAGACUAAAGGAACUAAACCAGGAUUCAAUGGAAGAGAAAGAAAAGAAACGUACAUUGUGACUUGUGAGGCGUUGAAGUUCAUGACUUGGGAGCUGGAGAAUCCAUGAAAAUAAAUAAUGAAGUUGCCAAAUUCUCGGGGAAGCUUAUUAAAGUAGUAGGGGUCUACAAAUCUUGAGAUAAGCAGAUUAAUCUGCCAUCAUUGUUGUCAUUGACCUCGAUAAGAAGGAAGAAGGAAGAAGAAGAGAGUGCGUUGAAUGAUUCAUUAGGACAAGGAAAGAACAUGUAGACCUAUUUAUAAUUACAGUUAACUAAAUCGAUAAAAAGCAUCAACCUUUACUGUUGAUUAAGGAAUAUAGAUAUUUUCUUUCUAAGUAAAAUGAUAUAAAAUAUGUUGUAAUGUGGCAAUAUGCCCAAAUAUAUUGUUGCAUAGAAAAUACAAUUUCCGUAAUUUUAGUAUCAAAAAUGCAGAUUUCUCUUCAUAUUAAAUAUAAACAAAAAAAAAUUAUGUAAAGAAGUCAUUUCAAAAUUUUAAUCCUGACAUCUUGUACAUAAAUUGUAAUUCACUAUUCUAUAUAAUUUGUAGAAUAAUAAUAGUAAUAAUUUGAUUUCAUGACUAUAAAUUAUUACACAAUAGAGAAAAUUUGAAUAUUCGUCAUCUCAUCAAUCAUCAUGAAGAAUUAAAAUUUAGGACACUUGCGGAUUCGUCCGUAUGUUUACAACCGACUGGUCCCAUGGUUUAAUGAAUUUUGCUGACCCAAAAUUUUGAAGACAGGAAAACACUGAAAUUUUAUUUUUUUUUAAAAUAUCAAAAGGAUGACUUUGUUCAUUUGGAAUGCAUUUAUUUUUGGCCAAGACCGUUUAAACAAUGAUGGAGCUUUAUACUAGUAAUCAAGAUGAACAAAACUAUAGUCUUCUUCUACCGAGGCAGCUUCAGAUUCUUGGGAACUAUAUAUAUAAGUGCAGGUAAAAGCCGUAAAGGGAGACGAUCUUUCACUACUUCUUUUGAAGUAUGAUCAUCCCCGCAAAGGCAAUUCCACGAGUGGCCACACCUAUGAGAAGCAAUAUCAUUAUACACAAAUUCCAGUUGUUUAUGUCGUAGCCACUCUCGAUAAGCAUACCACAUCGCGUAAUCAUCCAUACUCCAUAGUACCUGAAAUCCACUAUAUGAAUCAAAACAGAGCUUUUGAAAGGCUACUUCUUUAUCCUUUUGUUCCAACGUACCUUUGAGCAUUUCCUAUUACAAAUGCCUCCAAAGCCCACUUUGGAUAACUCAAAUCAGCCAGGAUCCUAAUAGCUUCAUUAUUCUUCGUAGGUUGGGUUGCAACAAGUGUUAAAACGACUGGAAUAAGAGCAGAAAACUGCAAAAACAAACAAAAUCCCCAAAAGUUGGUCGACUAGAAUGAAUAGAGAGCAUGCAUGUGGUUCUUUCUUCAAAAGGAAACUUAAAAAUAAAACUCACCAGUUGGGCUGUGCUUGGUUGGAGAAAGAUAGCCAACACAUAUGCAAUACCGGUCACACAAUAUACGAGGCAGACCAAAACGAUAUAGGUAUCGAAAAAUGUGGAUCUCGGAUUUGUAAAAAAAUAGAACAUAGAGAGAUAGACCAAUGGCUUGACAAAUAUAUUGAAAGAGUCUAUUGUAUCUUUGGCAAGGAAGCAGGCCAAGCUACUCAUCCCCGAGGCACUUUCUCUCCAGUAAUGUAACUUGUCUAGUGAGAAUGAUCUCAAAGCUGCUAUUUUGCAAAGAAGAGCUGACAGAAAAAAAAGAAGAAGAAAAAAGCAAACGAUAAUCAGAUUUAUAAGAAACUUCUCAGGACUAGAUUAAUAGAGGAUCCAACUUACAGACUGCGAUCGUAGUUUGGGUGUAACCAGGGAUUCCAAAGCUCUCAUCAUUUGCUUUAUUAAGUAAUCCUAAACAAACUCCAGCAAGCAACAAUAUCAUAUAGUCUGUGGCUUGUAAUGUAGCUUCUCUCAUUCGCUGCUUAGCUAUCCUGAAAUCAAGAACAUUGUUCUGCUUUAUUCGGACAUCCAAGAAUCAAUUCAUCGUAACUAAGUCGUGGAAGAAGCAAACCUUCCAAGGAAAUAUUUGUAUUGUUGCAACAUAAGAGGGGUUCUUCUAUGGGAUAAAUCUCUAGACUUCAAGAAGUUAUGCCGUAUUAUAGGAUUCGUUUCAAUAUCUGAUGGAACAGAGUAACCUUUGUGACGAUUCCACCUUUCAGGAAGCUCUUUGUAACCAACAGAAUCCCCCAUUGACGUCACAAUGCCUUCAAGAACGUCUAUGUAAUAGUCAGGAGGAUUGAUACGGUCUGGAACAUUUAUUCCCAACCCUGAGAAGUAUUCUUCGACUUCGUCAACUGAUCCAUGGUAAACAGUAAGGCCACCUUUCGCGAGAAGUACUAGAUCAUUGAACGUUUUGAACAAAGUAUAACUGCAACAAAGAAACAUGAAUUAAAAACUUCAUGGUAAAGAUAUUUCCCUAAAGCAAAACUUGUGUUUCAAGAUACCUUGGUUGGUGAACAACCAUGCAAAUAUUGACUCCCUCGAGGGCCUCAUGCCGAAGUGCUCUAAGAAGAAGUUGUGAUGAGGCACUAUCUAAGCCAGAAGUAGGCUCAUCCAAGAAUAAAACCGAAGGCUCCAUUACCAUUUCUAAACCCACAUUGACUCGUUUCUUCUGCCCACCUGAGAUUCCUCGCUUCUCUACUGUACCAACUAAAGAGUUCCUCACAGCUUGCAGCCCCAAAGAGUCAAUGAUUCUUUCAACCACAAGAACUUUGUCUGCUUUCGAUAGACCCGCAGGUAAUCUGCAUUUAGCAUGGAACCAAAAAUUUUCUUCUACUGUCAAGUUUCCAUGAACAACGUCAUCUUGUGGCACGAAACCAAUAAUCUUUUUAUACGAAUGGAUUGAAUCCGGUUUCCCGUUUAUAAGCAUCGAACCACUCAAUUUGCAUCCAACAGCUUUCCCAGCCAAAGCGUUAAGAAGACUUGUCUUCCCUGCUCCUGAUGGACCCAUCACAGCUGUGAUCCGACCAGGUUGCAUGGUUCCUGUGACACAUCUCAACACAUGCUUACCAUUGGACUUCAAAGUAAGAGUCAAAUCUUUAAAAGAAAGCUCUAAGAGAGGUCUCUUCCUCGUCUCAGUAUUAGUAGCCAUUGAAACUAUUCCUGAGAAGUUCAUAUUACUAUUCUCUUGCUCCAUGGAUUUCUCCUUCUCGAUCCGAUCAUACGCAUACUUGUAGAUUUGGGUGCGUGUUUUUUUAGUUUUAGGCAAACUCUGUUUUUCUACUCUGUUUCCUUCUAUUUCAAGACUUGCUCUUUCAUUACUCACGGAGGCUGCAUCAACUUCGAUAUCAUAAUAACUAGAUUGCGCAGAAGAGGCACUCGCAGGACUUGAAUGCUUUGACAUGUCAGAAGAGUCCCCAUGACGCCACAUCUUGUCUGUAUCCCCAUCAUGAUCGGAUCUUUGACCUGGAAAUGUACGACCUAUUUGCGUACGGAUCUCACUUAGAUGCUUUUUGGCACCCUCUCUAGCAGAUUUCCAUCUUUGGUGAGCUUUGGCUUUCUUCACCGCGGCUUCUCUUGAUUCCGCCUGCCUCCUUUCCCUUUUCGUUAGGAUUUUACCGGAACAACAGUAGAUAAUGAGUAGAAUAGAACUCACUACAACCUGCAUGCACAGACAUAUUUUAGAUACUGAGUAGAAUAGUGGAAACUAAACCUUAGUCUUUGGAUAAUUCAGUAAUAACUAGAAAAAACUUACGAUAACCAUAAUCCCAAUUGCCUCCAUGUUCUGCUUUUCUGAGUUGCGUUUGCAGGACGUAAACUUAGAGCAGACUGCAGAAUUGACAAGACGUACUUAAGAGAUGAAGAGACUAGCACAUGGAAAUAGUAAACAUUACUUGGUUAUGUGACAACAAGUGAGCAUGAAUAUUCGAUGACUUACGUAUCUCAGAUGUAGAACCCUUUCUGCAAUAGUGCCUAAAUCAACAUAAAAUAUAUAACCAUUAAACUAUAAACAAGUUUGAAACAAAAUUGGAUUCUCGGCUGGAUGAUUAAUUUGAUAUAUAUAGCCUGUUCCACACGCUCAUUUGGUAUUUACAUGCAACAAAUGUUCCAUCGAAAUGAUAUAUUGAUAUAAGAAGUAUAUUUGGGUUCACCUUUGGGGUGAAGGGUGAACUUUCCCAAUUCACCUCCUAAUAGUUUAGCUAAUGAAAAUACACUAAUAUGCCACGUAAUACUAUAUUUAGAACUAAAAUCAGAAAAACAAAAAAGAUUAAAGAAACAAAAUGUGUUUUUUUUUUUAUUUAAUUAAUGUUUAAAUAUUAGUCUGAGUUUAGAUUUUACAAUAUAAUGUACAAGUUUAUAUAUUGGUUUAGGUUAAUAAGCAUUAGGGUUUAGAUUUUACAAUUAACGGAAUUAUAUAUCAUUUUGGGUUUAUAAAAAAAAAUUAGAGUUUAGAUUACAAUUAAAACAAAAUUAUAUAUCGGUUUGGUAUAUAAAGGAGAAUUAGAGUUUAUAUUUUACAAUUAAAACAAAAGUAUAUAUUGGUUUGGAUUUAUAAAUGAGUGUUAGUGUUUAAAUUUUAUAACUAAAACAAAAUUCUAUAUCGGUUUAGGAUUAUAAAUGAGUGGUUAUAUGAAAUUAUAUAUUGGUUUGGUUAUAAAUCCCACUAAGUUGACACUAAACAAAAUAUUUGUAAAAGUAUCAUUUAGAAUUUUGUAAACAAAUGAAUCAGUUGGAUAAUGAGGAUAGUUUAUCACUUGUUUUCUUGACUGAACCAUUUCCAUCCAAAUGCUUCAACUAGAUUCAUCCAAAUGAGUUUCAAUUUAUAUAAAAAAAAAAAAAACAUGGCCAUAAGCGAGUAAGAAUAAAAUUUGUAAGGGAUAGAAAGGAGUUUGAAAGGACGAAGAAAUGAAUACCCUUUAUCACAAGCUAAUUUUGUAUCGGUGGUUGGACAAUACGAUCCCGCUGGACAGAAUACUUCACUACUGGAUCCGAUAUCGGCCCAUACAUUCGCACCUCCACAAGUGUGGUUUGGUUGUCCUGGUGGUAACUGAUAACUAUACCUAAAAUAUUUUGACAGUGUAACAAUAUCUUUGUCUUAUCCGGCAAUAAUAUCACAUUAGUAUAUUUUGUAUCUAAAAUAUGGAAUAAAGAAACUUACGGUUCACAUAAGCUCGUAGUCUGAUUAAGGGUAGCUAAGGGACAAUGAGCACCAAGGGGACAAGCUUUUCAAAACAGAAACAAAAAUUCAGAAACAGUGUUAUUUAAGACUAUAAUGAUGAGAAAAAAGCUCAUAAACCAUGAACGGCGUUGUGUGAAUUGCUUACGUAUCAUACAAGUAAGGCCACGAGGGCAGAAAAAGCCUUCACAACAAGCCAUACAGUUUUCUGUUCUUUGAGGAAACUGUGUGUGAUUUUGCAGCUGGUUGACUGGUUCGGUUGGACUAAGAGUACUACAGCCCCAUCCAGGUUCACAACCAGAGGGCCAUGAAGUCCUGUUGCAAUUUACAUUUGGCUGCAAGUAUUCCGUGUUCUUUAUUUUAUGAGUUUUGUUUAAAAAAGCAUCAAGAUAAAACUUCAUCUCUGCUGCUCCACAGAUACGUCUUUCAAUACCACCACCUGUUUCAGACCAAAAAUGUAAACACAUAAAAGAUAAAUGUCAUCAGAUUAACUCCAAGAACCAUAAGAAACGUGAGAAUUCUGCAAGACUUGGAGUGCCUCCAAAAUCAUCAUAUCGUCCCUCUUCCUUAACAACCAAGUAGCGAAUAGUUAUCUGUUUCGGUUCGGG
rnacentral:lncRNA from 1 species